rnacentral:rRNA from 1 species
GACGAACGCUGGCGGCGUGCUUAACACAUGCAAGUCGAACGGAAAGGCCCUGCUUGCCGGGUACUCGAGUGGCGAACGGGUGAGUAACACGUGGGUGAUCUGCCCUGCACUUCGGGAUAAGCCUGGGAAACUGGGUCUAAUACCGGAUAGGAGCCAUUUUUAGUGUGAUGGUUGGAAAGUUUUUUUCGGUGUAGGAUGAGCUCGCGGCCUUUCAGCUUGUUGGUGGGGUAAUGGCCUACCAAGGCGGCGGCGGGUAGCCGGCCUGGGAGGGUGGACGGCCAAAUUGGGGCUGGGGAAAGGGCCAGACCUCUACGGGGGGGAGGAGGGGGGGAAAUUGGAAAAUGGGGCGAAGCCUGAAGCAGGCAACCCGGGGGGGGGGUGACGGCCUUCGGGUUGUAAACCCCUUUCGAGAGGGAACAAGCUUUUUGUGACGGUACCUAGAGAAGAAGCACCGGCUAACUACGUG